rnacentral:rRNA from 1 species
AUGAAGAACGCAGCGAAAUGCGAAACGCAAUGCGAAUUGCAGAACCGCGAGUCAUCAGAUCUUUGAACGCAAGUGGCGAUGGUUUCGGCCAUCAUGUUUGUUUCAGUGU